AUACAACAGGUCCUGGAGUCAGUGGAAGAGCACUUGCCUACAAUGCACAAGGUCCUGGGUUCAAUUCGACACUACCAACCAACAACAGCAAAAACUAAAGGCUUCUCAGAUAGCUGCAGAAGUACAGAAAAUGCAGAGCAUGGCGAAGCUGAGCUGUAAUUCAGAAGCCAGGUUCAAGAAAGUGCCAGCAUAGAAUCUCUGAAAACCACUAGAAGCUCCUGGGAAGAAAAUUUCGCAGCUGAGAGUCAGGCCUUCAAAAGGGCUGUUUCCCUAGAAAUUUCAAUGGGUGCAGAAAACCACUGUCACUGAUCACUCGGUGUCAGAGUGAACCAAAGGAGUUUUGCUUUCAAAAUGGAAAAGCCUUUGAAAAUGCCUUCUUCAAGCUAUGGUUUCCUUCUUAUGCCCGCAUGAGGAUGAUUCUUGAAAAGGAUGCAGCAGUUAAAGUGUAGGACAAACUCUUUCCUCAAGAAUGGAGUCAAUGUAUCAAUGAUAAGAACCCAUAAAGUUAUUGUUUAAAUUUU
rnacentral:lncRNA from 1 species